rnacentral:rRNA from 1 species
UAGGGAAUUUUCGUCAAUGGGGGAACCCUGAACGAGCAAUGCCGCGUGUGUGAAGAAGGUCUUCGGAUCGUAAAGCACUGUUGUAAGUGAAGAAUGCCAUAUAGAGGAAAUGCUAUGUGGGUGACGGUAGCUUACCAGAAAGCCACGGCUAACUACGUGCCAGCAGCCGCGGUAAUACGUAGGUGGCAAGCGUUAUCCGGAAUCAUUGGGCGUAAAGGGUGCGUAGGUGGCACGAUAAGUCUGAAGUAAAAGGAACAGCUCAACUGUUGUAUGCUUUGGAAACUGUCGAGCUAGAGUGCAGAAGAGGGCGAUGGAAUUCCAUGUGUAGCGGUAAAAUGCGUAGAUAUAUGGAGGAACACCAGUGGCGAAGGCGGUCGCCUGGUCUGUAACUGACACUGAUGCACGAAAGCGUAGGGAGCAAAUAGGAUUAGAUACC